GAAGCCAGGUGGCCUCCCUGAUGGAACACUGAAGCAGAUGGCCCUGCUCGGGGUCCUGGCGCCCAGCCCUUGCUGCAGGGAGCAGGAGCAGCCAAUUGUACAGACAAAGGGGAAAAUCCCACAGAAUGAAGGAGGAGCAGGAGGAAGAGGAGAAGCAGAAGGAGGAGGAGAAAAGCUGUGUUUACAUUUCAGGAAACAACCUCGGGGAAAGAGCGACCUUCCUGGCUGCGGAGACCACGCUGCAGCCCUUAGGAGCCCAUGCUGAGUCCGCUGACUUGUUGGGCCUCGUCCUCAAGCAAGUGAACCUCAUUCACCCGACCCGAGUUAUUCUUCAGGAAAAGUCGUUGUAUGGAAAUAUUGGAAGGCAUGAGAUUGAUCCCACAGAGCAAAUGUGCCCCUUUCCCAUGGUCUGAAAUGGACUCCGUCCCAGGCAAAUUGGAGUUGCAGGUAUGCCGGCUAAUUUCCCAUCAUUCUGCCUGGAGGCUAUAAGAUGUCUUUUCAUCUUAAGUUACAUAAGUAUCCAAACACAUAAGAAGACUGUUAUUACAAAGGCAACUGAUGCAGGGCAAAAAAAAGAGUUUCGUUUAUUCUGAAUAUCUGCACUAAACGGUUUUGAUGUCUUUUCAGGGACUCCUAAGUACUAAGAAGGAGAAAAAAAAAUGCACAAAAGUCCUUUUAAAAAUGCAACCUGGCUGUCGCUGAUGUUGGGUCUGUCGAGAAAUCUAUUGUCCAUAAGGCAAGGGCCGGGCGAUCAUAAUCCAUCCUAUGAUAUUUGCAUUCGCCUUCCCCGUCUGCCCAACCGGCGGCUUAUGCAAAGCAGCUCUUAGUAUUCUUAGGGGGGUGGGGGCAGGGAGAGAGCUUGUACAUGUACUUCAAAAACUCU